GGGCACUCCGGUACAGCUCGAGCCUCUUUGCAAGGUUAGUUCUGCGUUCCAUGACUGCUGGGUCUUCGUCAAGAAGUUUGGAAAGCUGCUUCAUCUGCAUACCAAAUAGUAGAAUUAUAAGAUAUGACAGUUCCAUUAGACCUCUCAUAAGGCAUUCCUUCAACAAGGUGUUGAUGGCUUCCAGUGCUUGCAGCAUUGAAAUAUUUACAUAUUGGAGAUGUGGUAAAGGCUAUCAUCAGCCCACAAACAACGACCAACAAGGAAGCUACAGUAUAUCGAAUGAUCGAACAAACAAGGCAAGCGCUACAAUAUAAUGAAAUUAAAGGUAUAGUAAUACAAAGCCAUGACCAAUAAUUCCUUUCAAAUGAUGACAAAUCUCACCUCUCUUGCUCCCAGUUCAGUGAAGAAGUGAUCGAGCAGCGAGCGCUUGGCCUCUCGCACUU
rnacentral:lncRNA from 1 species